rnacentral:rRNA from 1 species
GACGAACGCUGGCGGCGUGCUUAACACAUGCAAGUCGAACGAUGACGACCGAGCUUGCUCGGUCUGAUUAGUGGCGAACGGGUGAGUAACACGUGAGCAACCUGCCCUUCACUCUGGGAUAACCUCGGGAAAUCGGGGCUAAUACCGGAUAUGAGCUCCUGUCGCAUGGCGGGUGUUGGAAAGUUUUUCGGUGAAGGAUGGGCUCGCGGCCUAUCAGUUUGUUGGUGAGGUAGUGGCUCACCAAGGCGAUGACGGGUAGCCGGCCUGAGAGGGCGACCGGCCACACUGGGACUGAGACACGGCCCAGACUCCUACGGGAGGCAGCAGUGGGGAAUAUUGCACAAUGGGCGAAAGCCUGAUGCAGCGACGCCGCGUGAGGGAUGACGGCCUUCGGAUUGUAAACCUCUUUCAGCAGGGAAGAAGCGAAAGUGACGGUACCUGCAGAAGAAGCGCCGGCUAACUACGUG